rnacentral:rRNA from 1 species
GAUCUGGCUCAGGAUGAACGCUAGCUACAGGCUUAACACAUGCAAGUCGAGGGGAAACGAUAUUGGAAGCUUGCUUCCGAUAGGCGUCGACCGGCGCACGGGUGAGUAACGCGUAUCCAACCUGCCCACCACUUGGGGAUAACCUUGCGAAAGUAAGACUAAUACCCAAUGAUAUCUCUAGAAGACAUCUGAAAGGGAUUAAAGAUUUAUCGGUGAUGGAUGGGGAUGCGUCUGAUUAG